rnacentral:precursor_RNA from 1 species
CACCCUAGCCAACACCUUAAUUGCAGCCUCUAAGAGACUCUGCAGCAAAGGACUUGGCUGUGCU